UACGUAGGGUGCAAGCGUUAAUCGGAAUUACUGGGCGUAAAGAGCUCGUAGGCGGUUUGUCGCGUCUGCUGUGAAAACUGGGGGCUCAACCCCCAGCCUGCAGUGGGUACGGGCAGACUAGAGUGCGGUAGGGGAGAUUGGAAUUCCUGGUGUAGCGGUGGAAUGCGCAGAUAUCAGGAGGAACACCGAUGGCGAAGGCAGAUCUCUGGGCCGUAACUGACGCUGAGGAGCGAAAGCAUGGGGAGCGAACAGG
rnacentral:rRNA from 1 species